rnacentral:rRNA from 1 species
CUACGGGUGGCACCAGUGAGGAAUAUUGCACAAUGGGGGAAACCCUGAUGCAGCAACGCCGCGUGGAGGAUGACGCAUUUCGGUGUGUAAACUCCUUUUAUAUGUCAAGAAAAUGACGGUAGCAUAUGAAUAAGCACCGGCUAACUCCGUGCCAGCAGCCGCGGUAAUACGGAGGGUGCAAGCGUUACUCAGAAUCACUGGGCGUAAAGGACGCGUAGGCGGGUCGGAAAGUCAGGUGUGAAAUCCUACAGCUUAACUGUAGAACUGCACUUGAAACUUCUAAUCUAGAGUAUGGGAGGGGGAGAUGGAAUUAGUGGUGUAGGGGUAAAAUCCGUAGAUAUCACUAGGAAUACCUAAAGCGAAGGCGAUCUCCUGGAACAUUACUGACGCUAAGGCGUGAAAGCGUGGGGAGCAAACAGGAUUAGAUACCCCAGUAGUC